UACGAAGGGGGCUAGCGUUGCUCGGAAUCACUGGGCGUAAAGGGUGCGUAGGCGGGUCUUUUAAGUCAGGGGUGAAAGUCAUCGGAGGCUCAACUCCAGAACUGCCUUUGAUACUGAGGAUCUUGAGUUCGGGAGAGGUGAGUGGAACUGCGAGUGUAGAGGUGAAAUUCGUAGAUAUUCGCAAGAACACCAGUGGCGAAGGCGGCUCACUGGCCCGAUACUGACGCUGAGGCACGAAAGCGUGGGGAGCAAACAGG
rnacentral:rRNA from 1 species